rnacentral:miRNA from 1 species
AGCCUCAUCAACCAGAAGGAAUCCCUUCCAGUCAAUGAGGUUGUUAUACCUCAUCAACUGGAAGGAACCCCUUCUGGUUGAUGAGGUU